AAAAUAAAAAAAAAUCCCACCGCCCCUGACAUUUCUCCCCGUCGUUCCCCAUUCUUCCUUGGUCGCCAGCUCCCUCUCCCCACCGCCAACAAGAGGUUCGCAACCCCUGCUCUUCCCCGCCUUUUCGACGAAUCCGGUCGCCCAAGUGGCCGAGGAGGUCCCUGAGCCUGGCAUGCUCGCGAGCAUCCCAGCGCUAGGCUCUGUCGGAGGCGCGACACUUCCACGCCCGUGCUCUUCCCCGUCCUUCGAAUCCGUUGGCCCAAGUGCCCAAGGAUGGGCUCGAGCUUGGCAUGCUCACGGGCGACCCAGCGCGGAGGCCCGCAACAAGACAACAAGGAGCGGGGCGUGGGUGCGCAAAAACUUCUGGGCACAGUUCGAUGCCUCCACUGGUGUGCCUCUGUUUGAUGUUCUAUUCAAGAUCCCUGUACAAUUGUGUUAUUCAAGAUACAAUAGCACUCGAUGAUGCUUGCUAACAAGGUCUGCAAUGCAAUAUGCACUGGACUGUUGCUUGCCAGAUGACUGGAAGACGGAUAAAUUUGCUUGCAAGGCUCUUGAUGAUAUAUCCAUUUUCAUCAAAUUCUUAAGGGUAUGGUCAAUUGGAGAAGACAUUACUAUGACUACAAAGAUCUGUUUUUUCAGGUGAUGAAUUGUAACCUUAUAUUCUUUAUUACUUGGAAUUGAAAAUCACUGGAAACAAUCCGUAAUUACUUUGGAGAGAAUAUUUUAUUCUUUUCUGUCUUGCUCUUGUUCAGCAUAGGAUGCAUAUCAUUAUCACUAUCAUGGUAUAUUAUUGCCAUUGAGGAAUCUUCCCAUGUACUCCCUCCGUUCGGAAUUACUUGUCGUAGAAAUGGAUGUAUCUAGACGUAUUUUAGUUCUAGAUACAUCCAUUUCCGAGACAAGUAAUUCCGAACGGAGGGAGUAGCAAAUUUACCUCGAAAGUACAAAACUUUGGCAGAUCACCAUCAGGUGCAGACAGGUACGUACAUUUAUACAGAAUUUAUGAUAAUUCAAGGCACUUCACGCCCAGGAAAGCAACAUUCAGGCAAGUCUCCAUCACUACAACUACAUCCACCAAGUUAAAGAAAAGGUUCCCAAGUCACCUCAAUAGCAAACUCAAAGGAAAAUAAUGGAUUCACACAGCUUUAAAGUAGGCUUUUCUGAAAAGAAAAUCAAAAUUGAAUUAGAACACAACUUACAAAAUUAAGGCGAUUGGGAGAUAUGACAAAAUUCCUGAAAUCUCAUAACAUUUGUAUCUGAAUGGCAACAGAAAAAUGAAAAAAAAAAAAUCUGAAUAACAGUAAUUAAAAGGA